rnacentral:misc_RNA from 1 species
GAUGAAGAACGUAGCGAAAUGCGAUAAGUAAUGUGAAUUGCAGAAUUCAGUGAAUCAUCGAAUCUUUGAACGCACCUUGCGCCCUUUGGCUAUUCCGAAGGGCAUGCCUGUUUGAGUAUCAUGAACACCUCAACUCUUCACGGCUUGCCGUGAUGAGUUUGGACUUUGGGGGUCUUGCUGGCCUACGAGCCAGCUCCUCUCAAAUGUAUUAGCUUGCCGGUGUUUGGUGGCAUCACAGGUGUGAUAACUAUCUACGCUUGUGGUUUUCCACUAGGUAACCUUCAGCAAUGGAGGUUCACCGGAGCUCACAAAUGUCUCUCCUUGCCAAGGACAGAUUUUGACCAUUUGAUCUCAAAUCAGGUAGGACUACCCGCUGAACUUAAGCAUAUCAAUAAGCGGAGG